rnacentral:lncRNA from 1 species
CUUGCAUAUCUUCUCUUUCGCCUCCAAUCUCCAUAUUGCUCUUUUUCAUCUAUGCAGUUAAAAGAUGAAUAAAUUAUAUAAGCAAAUAGUGAAUUAAACUAUCCAAUCAUAUAAAACUAAAAUCAAAAUUUUAUAUAAAGAAUAAUUCUUUUACCUUAAUCCUGCAUAUUUUCUCAAGCAAACAACCAAUGGCAUUCAAUUUUACUAUAAUGUAACAAAAUCAUAUCAAACAAGAAAUUUUCAAUAUUGAAAAGUUAGCUAAGCAUAUUUAGAUAAGUGAAGUUAGCUAAGCAUAUUUAGCUAAAUAUAGUAUCAUAAAAGUAACAACAUCAAAUAGUUAAAUACACCAACAUAAAAAUAAAAAUUCAACAUUAAUCCAAGUGCAUAUAUAUCUUAAGAGCCAUCAAGCAUAGAAAACAACAUUAAGUCUUCCACUCAAAAUCACCCCAUCCUGUAUCAAAAAAACAUAAUAAAGUUAGUUUAUAUAAAAAAUAAUUUAAAAAAUAAUAAAAUAUAUGCAAUAUGUGCAUUCUUAAAAUUAUUCACCUUACAAAAGAAAAAUUAGUAAGCUAAGAAUCCACAACUUCGGGCCAUUUGUGUAUAAAAAAGUAUCCAUCAGAUGGACUAAAAGCUCUAUGUUUGGGUCUUCUUUGUGCAUAACAGAGAAUGGACACAUUCAAUUUAAGCACUCGAGCCAUUUGUGUAUAAAAAAGUAUCCAUCAGAUGGACUAAAAGCUAUGUUUGGGUCUUCUUUGUGCAUAACAGAGAAUGGAAACAUUCAAUUUAAGCACUCGAGCCAUUUGUGUACAAAAAAGUAUUCAUCAGAUGGACUAAAAGCUCUAUGUUUGGGUCUUCUUUGUACAUAACAGAGAAUGGACACAUUCAAUUUAAGCACUCGAGCCAUUUGUGUAUAAAAAAGUAUCCUCAGAUGGACUAAAAGCUUCCAACUUUUGCUUUGAAGAAUGAAAACUCAAAUCGUACCUGGUUUGUAAAGAACCACCCGAUUACUGAUCUAUUGUUGGAUAGAGGAAGCGGAAGAGGAAGAGGCGACGAGGAGGGUUUCGAUUUAUGAAGAGUGAAGAAACCGACUUCGAUCUUCGAUUUCUAAAGAUGAGGGCUUCCGAUGGCGUUCGGCGAGCGGCCGGAAGGGAAGAGGGGGACCGCCGCAGGGGUUGGUGGCAGGGCUGCACCGCCGCAGGGCCGCACCGCCGCAGGGCCGCAGGGGUGAGAAGUUAGGGCAAACCCUUUUUUUGGGAGUGGUGGGGUGGCCAGGUGGAGUGGGAGUGUGGGACAGUGGGACUGUGGGAGUGGGACUCGUGGGAGAAGGGGGGGG